GUAACUCUCUCUCUCUCUCUGCUUGCAUUUGGUCAAAUAACCUCAGCUUAUGGUUGUUUAUUCUCUUGUUUCAUAUGGAAUAAUAAACAGUCUAUAACAAGCUGAAAGAUAUAGAUACAAUAGACCUCAAGUGGUGUCCAAUUAUACCCGAUAAGGCAAGUUUUUCUCUUAAACUUUCAUAAAUUUAGUUUCUAUGUGCAUAUUUUAAUUCUUUAGGAUUCUCUCUAACAGCAUGCAUACUUGAAGCAUGAGAAAAAGUUUGCUGAACUCUUCAAGAAGCAUGAAGAGAAAAAGAAGCGGUGGAUGCUGAUUGAAGAAGAAAAAGAGCGUCUUGGGAAAGGGAAAAGAGGAGCUGUUACUGAUAAGUUGAAACCAUGUUAUGCUAUGCUCUUGGCCUGAGAAUAGAGGAGCAGUUACUGAUAGGUUGAAACCAUGUUAUGCUAUGCUCUUGGCCUGAGAAUUGUGUCAGUCUUUUGUGCAAGAAUGUAGAAGAAUUAUUAUAAUUCUAAUUGUGUUAUGUUUCUUUGUUUUGUAUUCUGUGUUGGAUUUCAGUUCUGCUAAUCUUUGUGGCACGUACUGCUUCAUUGCCUGAUGUUGCAUAAUACAGAAUAGUGUUGGCAUGUUGAGAUGAUCAAAUUAAUAUUAACAAUAAAAGAAAAAUGACAAGACUGUUUAGUUGGAUUACAAUUGCACAAAACAUGACCUCGUCGCCUCAUUUUUUUUAUUUUUUUUUUGGCUAAGAAUGAAUUAAGCCAAAUUAUGAAAUUAAUAAAGAAAGAAGAGUUCUUUCUACAAACAAGUUUGUCAAUAGGUACAUUCCGUCCUCUGCAAAACCAUGCAAUUAUGCAGAUUCAUCUUUUUUUUACACAAGACAAGGAAAGAAAUUUCUGAACAAAAUAAAAUGAGAAAUUCAUAAAGCAAGGCCAUUUCUUCUGAACUUGAAAAGUUGAUCUAUUAUGAAGAUUGGGGAGAACACAAGAAACGAGACAAAUGUAAGAACCUGUUCAAUUCGGUAACACGGAGCAAGAUGGCUACAAAUAAUAUUUAGGAACUAAAAAAUGUGAUUUAUUUUCAUUGGAACUAAAAACAAAACUGCAGAUAUUUAUAGGGACCAAAAACUUAAUUAACCCUUUUAAAAACCGUUUUUUGGAUCCUCCAUUUAUUUUAUUUUCUUCAUAAAUUUGGGUCUUUUUUGAUGAUGUGACAUUUUUUAAGAGGAAAUAAACGCUUAUAGCAUCUUAUUUUUUUAUGAUGUUAACUCGCUUAAAGUAGUCGGCAAUUUUUUCCGAGUUAAAAUAUAAUAAAUAUUGUUUUAAAAAAAAUUAAACUAACUCAUUCAAAUUAAUACUGGAAAAAAUCGAACCUCAUACUUUAAGAAGGGUCACGCUUUAAAGUUCACGACCAACUUAUUGUUAAGUUGGGACAAAAGAAUAUUAUACUUUUAAAAUGGAGACCGAAACUUUUUUUUUUUAAUAGAAAAGACACCGAAACUUGUUUUUAAUAGAAAAGACAAAAUGCAUUUAAUAUUAUUUUCAAAAUAUUAAAUCUUUCUUUUCUUUUUAUACAUUUGUUAACAAUUCACAUUGUCAAUGAAGUAUUAUCCAGAAAACCUUCAUUAUAAAUAUAAGAGUAAAUUACACCCUCUUCCCAUUAAAGAUAUUUGAAUUACAUUUCCCUCCCCUUUAUAUUAAAAUAUACACUCCCCUCCCUUAAAAAGAAAAAUUUAUACUUGUGAAAUGGUUUAGUUAAUUUUGAUAUGGUUCGAUUCGGUUACUGGUUAAUUUUGCCCACCCCUACACUUGGGUUAAUUCAUGCUUGAUUUAAGUUACGUAGAGAUUAACACUAGAAUUAAAUCACGUUGCGUGAUUUAACACACCUAAAAUAUACACUAGUGUGAUUUAAAUCACAUAAGGACAUUUUAAAUAUUUACUUUGGCAAUGAGCAAAACUGUAAAGAGCAAAAUUCUACACUUAAAUCCCGAAUUGGGCCGAGUAACCAACCCAUUUUGCUAUAUAUAUAUAUAUAUAUAUAUAUAUAUAUAUAUAUAUAUAUAUAUAUAUAGACUUGUCUAUUUCGUUCAAUAGUUUGCCGAUAUCCACUCGCUGAUCGCGUUUGUUUUCAGAGUUCGUUCAUUCGUUUUCUACCUUCUUCAUUGGAUUUGUAUACCUCCCUCAUCUCCAUCAUGUUUGAGGUAUUUUCAUUCCUUUUCAAUUCUGUUUGAUUCGACUCUUCUCAAAUUUGUGAGAUUAGGGUUUGUAACUUUUGAAUUGAUUUUUUUUAUGUGAAAUAGAAUGUUUUGUGAUGGAAUUAAACCUUCCAUUACACUGAUUCUUUGCUCGUAUGUUUCUUUAUCAAUUCAAUCUGUUCUGUGUUGUGUUGUUUGGAGAUAUUCCAAUCUUAUCUUAUUUGCGGGAUUAGGGUUUCAAACCUUUGAAUUGGGGAUUUCAAUUUUGUGUGUGACAAUCUGAUUUUCUUUUUAUUUGCAAGGGUUUUUGUUGAUUGGCUAACAUCUAUGAAGCCCCGAUACCGAUACGAUACGGCCUCGAUAAAUUUAAAAUUAAUAGUAUAAGUGCACAAUGUAUAAACAUAACUAAAAAUGAUAAUAAACAAUGAAAAUGAUCAAAACAAGUGACAAUUACAUAUUUUUUCCGCACAAAUUAGAUAGAAUAUAGCUAAACAUCAUUAGUACCAUCCAAAGAGAACAACAUAAGUACUAUAAAAACAGCAGAAGAAACAUAACAUUAGAGAGAAGAGAAACAGAGUAGAAUUCAAUCAGUGAUAAUGGUUAGAAGAGAGAAUAGCUAUUGCUAUGUGGUGACGAGAAACCCUAUUUUUUUUUUUGUUAGAAGAGACAAUAUGAUUUUGGUAGCGCUUCCAGACUUGAUAGGUGUCCGAGUAUAAGUAAGCUGUGUCGGAGUACAAGUUAGUCGUAUCCGACACGUAUCGGACAUUUUUUUUCCUUCAAAAAAUAAAUAUUAACUGCCCGAUGCUUUUCUGAUACGCGUAUCGGGACGUAUUCGACACGUAUUGGUCAUUGUUUUUCAAAAAAAUAAAUAUUAAUUGUCCGAUACUUUUCCGAUACGCGUAUCGAGGCGUAUCGGUAUCAGAUACAUGUCGGAUACGAUACUUCACCAUUUUUGGAGUAUCGGGGCUUCAGAGGCUAACAUAAAUUAUUCUAUUUGUAACUUAUGGUUUCUUUUUAUUAUUUGUAAGAGAAACUUAUAUGCUACAUAUGUUCCUCAUUUUAUCGUUAUUAUUUUUAUAUUUGUGUUUGCCACUUUUAAUUAAUUAGUUGUUCUCUGUUGGAAUUUAUUCAAAGGAACAUUACCAGCACCCUAGACUCUCCCCAAUGGGCCCUUCACGAUUGCCGCUGCCACCGCAAAUGGGUAAUUCAACCUAAUCCUAUUUUCAUACAAGUAUUAUUUUGCUGUUUGAUUUGAUGAAUCUCAAAUAAUAACUUCACCCUUUGGAUUCUUAUUAUUUCAUCAAUACAAUAGAAAGAAAACUUCUUCAUGAGAAGAAGCGGAAGGAGCAAGAAGUAGAAAGCACAAAGGAGGAUCUUCUCCAUGGGAAGAAGCCAAAGGAGCAAAAAGUAGAAAGUACCGAGGGAGAUCUGCUUUAUGAUGGUGAGAAGCCAAAAGAAUUCGAAUGCCCGGUUUACGCAGAGACAUUGAAAGGUAACUCUCUCUCUCUCUCUGCUUGCAUUUGGUCAAAUAACCUCAGCUUAUGGUUGUUUAUUCUCUUGUUUCAUAUGGAAUAAUAAACAGUCUAUAACAAGCUGAAAGAUAUAGAUACAAUAGACCUCAAGUGGUGUCCAAUUAUACCCGAUAAGGCAAGUUUUUCUCUUAAACUUUCAUAAAUUUAGUUUCUAUGUGCAUAUUUUAAUUCUUUAGGAUUCUCUCUAACAGCAUGCAUACUUGAAGCAUGAGAAAAAGUUU
rnacentral:lncRNA from 1 species